rnacentral:rRNA from 1 species
CCUACGGGUGGCAGCAGUGAGGAAUAUUGGUCAAUGGACGCAACUCUGAACCAGCCAAGCAGCGUGCAGGAUGACGGCCCUAUGGGUUGUAAACUGCUUUUAUGCGGGGGUAAACGCAGUCACGUGUGUCUGUUUGAAGGUAUCGUACGAAUAAGGACCGGCUAAUUCCGUGCCAGCAGCCGCGGUAAUACGGAGGAUUCGAGCGUUAUCCGGAUUUAUUGGGUUUAAAGGGUGCGCAGGCGGCCCGUUAAGUUAGUGGUGAAAUGCCGAGGCUCAACCUCGGCACUGCAGCGGAAACUGGUCGGCUUGAGAGUACUGGCGGUAGGCGGAAUGUAUGGUGUAGCGGUGAAAUGCUUAGAGAUCACACAGAACUCCGAUUGCGAAGGCAGCUUACCAUGCUACUUCUGACGCUGAGGCUCGAAGGCGUGGGGAGCAAACAGGAUUAGAUACCCCGGUAGUC